GACGAACGCUGGCGGCGUGCUUAACACAUGCAAGUCGAACGGAAAGGCCCUGCUUUUGUGGGGUGCUCGAGUGGCGAACGGGUGAGUAACACGUGAGUAACCUGCCCUUGACUUUGGGAUAACUUCAGGAAACUGGGGCUAAUACCGGAUAGGAGCUCCUGCUGCAUGGUGGGGGUUGGAAAGUUUCGGCGGUUGGGGAUGGACUCGCGGCUUAUCAGCUUGUUGGUGGGGUAGUGGCUUACCAAGGCUUUGACGGGUAGCCGGCCUGAGAGGGUGACCGGCCACAUUGGGACUGAGAUACGGCCAAGACUCCUACGGGAGGCAGCAGUGGGGAAUAUUGCACAAUGGGCGGAAGCCUGAUGCAGCAACGCCGCGUGCGGGAUGACGGCCUUCGGGUUGUAAACCGCUUUCGCCUGUGACGAAGCGUGAGUGACGGUAAUGGGUAAAGAAGCAACGGCUAACUACGUG
rnacentral:rRNA from 1 species